AGAUUGAACGCUGGCGGCAGGCCUAACACAUGCAAGUCGAGCGGCAGCACGGGUACUUGUACCUGGUGGCGAGCGGCGGACGGGUGAGUAAUGCCUAGGAAUCUGCCUGGUAGUGGGGGAUAACGCUCGGAAACGGACGCUAAUACCGCAUACGUCCUACGGGAGAAAGCAGGGGACCUUCGGGCCUUGCGCUAUCAGAUGAGCCUAGGUCGGAUUAGCUAGUUGGUGGGUAAUGGCUCACCAAGGCGACGAUCCGUAACUGGUCUGAGAGGAUGAUCAGUCACACUGGAACUGAGACACGGUCCAGACUCCUACGGGAGGCAGCAGUGGGGAAUAUUGGACAAUGGGCGAAAGCCUGAUCCAGCCAUGCCGCGUGUGUGAAGAAGGUCUUCGGAUUGUAAAGCACUUUAAGUGGAGAAGGCAGUUACCUAAUACGUAUCUGUUUUGACGUUACGACAGAAUAAGCACCGGCUAACUCUGUG
rnacentral:rRNA from 1 species